AGAUGUGAGGGCGAUCUGGCUGCGACAUCUGUCACCCCAUUGAUCGCCAGGGUUGAUUCGGCUGGUCUGGCUGGCUAGGCGGGUGUCCCUUCCUCCCUCAUCACUCCAUGUGUAUCCCUCCCGAAGCUGCUUGGUCGAAGAGGAUGGCCUUCGAUCGAGGGUAUAGGAGUAGCUGCGCUCCCCUGCUAGAACCUCCAAACAAGCUCUCAAGGGGAAAGUUUCACAAGCAGUAAAGCAGUGCUGCAGAUGUCUCUCU
rnacentral:snRNA from 1 species